rnacentral:rRNA from 1 species
GAUGAACGCUGGCGGCGUGCCUAAUACAUGCAAGUCGAGCGAACAGACGAGGAGCUUGCUCCUCUGACGUUAGCGGCGGACGGGUGAGUAACACGUAGAUAACCUACCUAUAAGACUGGGAUAACUUCGGGAAACCGGAGCUAAUACCGGAUAAUAUAUUGAACCGCAUGGUUCAAUAGUGAAAGACGGUUUUGCUGUCACUUAUAGAUGGAUCCGCGCCGCAUUAGCUAGUUGGUAAGGUAACGGCUUACCAAGGCGACGAUGCGUAGCCGACCUGAGAGGGUGAUCGGCCACACUGGAACUGAGACACGGUCCAGACUCCUACGGGAGGCAGCAGUAGGGAAUCUUCCGCAAUGGGCGAAAGCUUGACGGAGCAACGCCGCGUGAGUGAUGAAGGUCUUCGGAUCGUAAAACUCUGUUAUUAGGGAAGAACAAAUGUGUAAGUAACUAUGCACGUCUUGACGGUACCUAAUCAGAAAGCCACGGCUAACUACGUG